UACGUAGGGUGCGAGCGUUGUCCGGAAUUAUUGGGCGUAAAGAGCUUGUAGGCGGUUUGUCGCGUCUGCCGUGAAAUUUCGAGGCUCAACCUCGAACUUGCGGUGGGUACGGGCUGACUAGAGUGUGGUAGGGGAGACUGGAAUUCCUGGUGUAGCGGUGAAAUGCGCAGAUAUCAGGAGGAACACCGAUGGCGAAGGCAGUGGGCUGGGCCGGCACUGACGCUGAGGAGCGAAAGCGUGGGGAGCGAACAGG
rnacentral:rRNA from 1 species